rnacentral:rRNA from 1 species
CACGUAGGGUGCGAGCGUUUGUCCGGAAUUAUUGGGCGUAAAGAGCUCGUAGGCGGUGUGUCGCGUCGGUCGUGAAAACUUGGGGCUUAACCCUGAGCUUGCGGUCGAUACGGGCAUCACUGGAGUUCGGCAGGGGAGACUGGAAUUCCUGGUGUAGCGGUGAAAUGCGCAGAUAUCAGGAGGAACACCGGUGGCGAAGGCGGGUCUCUGGGCCGAUACUGACGCUGAGGAGCGAAAGCGUGGGGAGCGAACAGG